GGGUCGAUGCCCGAGCGGUUAAUGGGGACGGACUGUAAAUUCGUUGGCUCAUAUGUCUUUGUCAGACAAAGCAAAGUUAACCCU
rnacentral:tRNA from 1 species